GGGUCCUUCGGGACUAGCGGCGGACGGGUGAGUAACGCGUGGGAACGUGCCCCUUGGUACGGAAUAGCCCCGGGAAACUGGGAGUAAUACCGUAUGUGGUCGAGAGACGAAAGAUUUAUCGCCAAGGGAUCGGCCCGCGUUGGAUUAGGUAGUUGGUGGGGUAAUGGCCUACCAAGCCGACGAUCCAUAGCUGGUUUGAGAGGAUGAUCAGCCACACUGGGACUGAGACACGGCCCAGACUCCUACGGGAGGCAGCAGUGGGGAAUCUUAGACGAUGGGGGAAACCCUGAUCUAGCCAUGCCGCGUGAUCGAUGAAGGCCUUAGGGUUGUAAAGAUCUUUCAGGUGGGAAGAUAAUGACUGUACCACCAGAAGAAGCCCCGGCUAACUCCGUGCCAGCAGCCGCGGUAAUACGGAGGGGGCUAGCGUUAUUCGGAAUUACUGGGCGUAAAGCGCACGUAGGCGGACCAGAAAGUCAGAGGUGAAAGCCCGGGGCUCAACCCCGGAACUGC
rnacentral:rRNA from 1 species